UCUGACAUUCACUCAGCGAGUGAGGGUCUGCCUGGGGAGCGCCACAGAGGCAGCUAAAAUCCUUUCUGCCUAACCACCAGUCUCUCAGGGAAUAAUCGCCUUCAAGUCCGAGACAUUCCUGUGAAAGCACUGAUGAGGCCUCACCUCGAGUCCUGUGUUCAGUUUUGGGCCCCUCAUGGCAAGAAGGACACGGAGGUGUUGGACCAUGACCAAAGGAGGGCAGCAAUGCUGGUGGUGGAUCUGGAGCAAAGCCUGAUGAGGAGCAGUUCAGGAACUCAGGGUGUUUAUCUAGCCUGAAGAAAAGGAGGCUCAGGGAAGACCUCAUUGCUCUCUACAACCACCUGACUGGAGGCUGCAGCAGGGCAAGAGGACUUGGUCUUCUCCCAGGUAUGAUCAGAGGUGGCUACAUGAUGAGGAGAAUCAAAAGUCUACUCAGAAGCACACCUGAGGAGCCCCAAACCUGCUCAUCUCAAACUGCAAUAAGACAAAAGAUGAAAGUUAUUGUGAAGGAAACUGGAUUACUUGCAGAGUAUUGAUGCUCUAACAUUCAUUUUAAAAAGUCAUCUCCUUAUUUUUUAUGAUAUUUUUACUU